GUAACACUAACUGGAGGACCGAACCGACUAAUGUUGAAAAAUUAGCGGAUGACCUGUGGCUGGGGGUGAAAGGCCAAUCAAACCGGGAGAUAGCUGGUUCUCCCCGAAAGCUAUUUAGGUAGCGCCUCGUGAAUUCAUCUCCGGGGGUAGAGCACUGUUUCGGCUAGGGGGCCAUCCCGGCUUACCAACCCGAUGCAAACUGCGAAUACCGGAGAAUGUUAUCACGGGAGACACACGGCGGGUGCUAACGUCCGUCGUGAAGAGGGAAACAACCCAGACCGCCAGCUAAGGUCCCAAAGUCAUGGUUAAGUGGGAAACGAUGUGGGAAGGCCCAGACAGCCAGGAUGUUGGCUUAGAAGCAGCCAUCAUUUAAAGAAAGCGUAAUAGCUCACUGGUCGAGUCGGCCUGCGCGGAAGAUGUAACGGGGCUAAACCAUGCACCGAAGCUGCGGCAGCGACACUGUGUGUUGUUGGGUAGGGGAGCGUUCUGUAAGCCUGUGAAGGUGGCCUGUGAGGGUUGCUGGAGGUAUCAGAAGUGCGAAUGCUGACAUAAGUAACGAUAAAGCGGGUGAAAAGCCCGCUCGCCGGAAGACCAAGGGUUCCUGUCCAACGUUAAUCGGGGCAGGGUGAGUCGACCCCUAAGGCGAGGCCGAAAGGCGUAGUCGAUGGGAAACGGGUUAAUAUUCCCGUACUUGGUGUUACUGCGAAGGGGGGACGGAGAAGGCUAUGUUGGCCGGGCGACGGUUGUCCCGGUUUAAGCGUGUAGGUGUGUGUUCCAGGUAAAUCCGGUUCACUUUAACACUGAGGCGUGACGACGAGGCACUACGGUGCUGAAGCAACAAAUGCCCUGCUUCCAGGAAAAGCCUCUAAGCAUCAGGUAACAUCAAAUCGUACCCCAAACCGACACAGGUGGUCAGGUAGAGAAUACCAAGGCGCUUGAGAGAACUCGGGUGAAGGAACUAGGCAAAAUGGUGCCGUAACUUCGGGAGAAGGCACGCUGACACGUAGGUGAAGUGAUUUACUCAUGGAGCUGAAGUCAGUCGAAGAUACCAGCUGGCUGCAACUGUUUAUUAAAAACACAGCACUGUGCAAACA
rnacentral:rRNA from 1 species